GUGGGGAAUCUUGCGCAAUGGGCGAAAGCCUGACGCAGCCAUGCCGCGUGAAUGAUGAAGGUCUUAGGAUUGUAAAAUUCUUUCACCGGGGACGAUAAUGACGGUACCCGGAGAAGAAGCCCCGGCUAACUUCGUGCCAGCAGCCGCGGUAAUACGAAGGGGGCUAGCGUUGCUCGGAAUUACUGGGCGUAAAGGGCGCGUAGGCGGACAGUUUAGUCAGAGGUGAAAGCCCAGGGCUCAACCUUGGAAUUGCCUUUGAUACUGGCUGUCUUGAGUACGGGAGAGGUGAGUGGAACUCCGAGUGUAGAGGUGAAAUUCGUAGAUAUUCGGAAGAACACCAGUGGCGAAGGCGACUCACUGGCCCGUUACUGACGCUGGGGCGCGAAAGCGUGGGGAGCAAACAGGAUUAGAAACCCGGGUAGUCC
rnacentral:rRNA from 1 species